GGGCUCCUUCGGGAGCACCGGCGGACUGCUCAGUAACACGUGGACAACCUACCCUCGGGUGGGGGAUAACCUCGGGAAACUGAGGCUAAUACCCCAUAGGCCUCGGAUACUGGAAGGUUCCGAGACCGAAAGCUCCGGCGCCCGAGGAUGGGUCUGCGGCCUAUCAGGUAGUUGGUGGUGUAAAGGACCACCAAGCCUACGACGGGUACGGGCCCUGAGAGGGGGAGCCCGGAGAUGGACUCUGAGACACGAGUCCAGGCCCUACGGGGCGCAGCAGGCGCGAAACCUUCGCAAUGCGCGAAAGCGCGACGAGGGGAGCCCGAGUGCCCUUCCUUUCGGGAGGGCUUUUCUGGAGCCUAAAAAGCUCCAGGAAUAAGGGCUGGGCAAGACGGGUGCCAGCCGCCGCGGUAAUACCCGCAGCUCGAGUGGUGACCACUAUUAUUGAGCCUAAAGCGUCCGUAGCCGGACUCGUAAAUCCCUGGGUAAAUCCUGGCGCUCAACGUCA
rnacentral:rRNA from 1 species